GUGGCAGAUUUAAGAUGGAGGAAAUGGUCCAGGGGGUCUGGACUUCCCCUAGAUACCGAUAUAAUUUCAAUAAAAUGUCAUGUAAAACGAAGUAUCUAUUAAUAUAGGGUAUCCAUCACGAAAGCAUAUUUUUUUUUUAAAUGUGUACCAUUUUUUUUGUUUUUGGGUCGGUACCACUGUACCCGAAAGUUUUCUUAUCUCAAAAACUUGAAGUUUUGUAUGGUAUCGUUCGUUUUUGUUUUUGAGUGUUUUGAAUAUGUCCGUAACCAUGGAAAGAUUGUCUAUGGAAACGCACGUUUUGGUUUCCGGACAGACUCAUCUCAUUGUGUGGGGGGGGACCAAAGCUGGCCACCAUGGUGUUUCAUUCGUUAACUUCGGAAUUUCCUGAUU